rnacentral:rRNA from 1 species
GAUGAACGCUGACAGAAUGCUUAACACAUGCAAGUCAACUUGAAUUUGGGUUUUUAACUUAGGUUUGGGUGGCGGACGGGUGAGUAACGCGUAAAGAACUUGCCUCACAGCUAGGGACAACAUUUGGAAACGAAUGCUAAUACCUAAUAUUAUGAUAAUAGGGCAUCCUAUAAUUAUGAAAGCUAUAAGCGCUGUGAGAGAGCUUUGCGUCCUAUUAGCUAGUUGGAGAGGUAACGGAUCACCAAGGCGAUGAUGGGUAGCCGGCCUGAGAGGGUGAUCGGCCACAAGGGGACUGGGACACGGCCAUUACGCCAACGGGAGGCAGCAGUGGGGAAUAUUGGACAAUGGACCAAGAGUCUGAUGCAGCAAUUCUGUGUGCACGAUGAAGUUUUUCGGAAUGUAAAGUGCUUUCAGUUGGGAAGAAAGAAAUGACGGUACCAACAGAAGAAGUGACGGCUAAAUACGUG